rnacentral:rRNA from 1 species
UGAUCUAGCCAUGCCGCGUGAGUGAUGAAGGCCUUAGGGUCGUAAAGCUCUUUCGCCUGUGAUGAUAAUGACAGUAGCAGGUAAAGAAACCCCGGCUAACUCCGUGCCAGCAGCCGCGGUAAUACGGAGGGGGUUAGCGUUGUUCGGAAUUACUGGGCGUAAAGCGCACGUAGGCGGAUUGGAAAGUUGGGGGUGAAAUCCCGGGGCUCAACCCCGGAACUGCCUCCAAAACUAUCAGUCUAGAGUUCGAGAGAGGUGAGUGGAAUUCCAAGUGUAGAGGUGAAAUUCGUAGAUAUUUGGAGGAACACCAGUGGCGAAGGCGGCUCACUGGCUCGAUACUGACGCUGAGGUGCGAAAGUGUGGGGAGCAAACAGGAUU